GGAGAGGUGGCCGAGUGGUUUAAGGCGGCUGUCUUGAAAACAGUUGAGUGAUGAGCUCCGGGGGUUCGAAUCCCUCCCUCUCCG
rnacentral:tRNA from 1 species